UACGUAGGGGGCAAGCGUUGUCCGGAUUUAUUGGGCGUAAAGAGCGUGUAGGCGGCCAGACAGGUCCGUUGUGAAAACUCGAGGCUCAACCUCGAGAUGUCGAUGGAAACCGUCUGGCUAGAGUCCGGAAGAGGAGUGUGGAAUUCCUGGUGUAGCGGUGAAAUGCGCAGAUAUCAGGAAGAACACCUAUGGCGAAGGCAGCACUCUGGGACGGUACUGACGCUGAGACGACGAAAGCGUGGGGAGCGAACAGG
rnacentral:rRNA from 1 species